GAUGAACGCUAGCGGCAGGCCUAAUACAUGCAAGUCGAGGGGCAGCAUAGUAGCAAUACUGAUGGCGACCGGCGCACGGGUGCGUAACGCGUAUGCAACCUACCCAUUUACUGAGGGAUAGCCCGGAGAAAUUCGGAUUAAUACCUCAUGGUAUCAAGGACAGGCAUUUGUUUUUGAUUAAAGAUUUAUCGGUAAUGGAUGGGCAUGCGUCAGAUUAGCUAGUUGGCGGGGUAACGGCCCACCAAGGCGAUGAUCUGUAGGGGGUCUGAGAGGAUGAUCCCCCACACUGGUACUGAGAUACGGACCAGACUCCUACGGGAGGCAGCAGUAGGGAAUAUUGGUCAAUGGGCGAGAGCCUGAACCAGCCAUGCCGCGUGCAGGAAGAAGGCCCUCUGGGUUGUAAACUGCUUUUAUACAAGAGAAAACCCUGGUACGUGUACCAGGUUGAUAGUAUUGUAAGAAUAAGCAUCGGCUAACUUCGUGCCAGCAGCCG
rnacentral:rRNA from 1 species